UUUUGGUAGAUAUUUAGCAUCAUGACUGGAAUAACCAUGAAAUCUAAUUUAGCAGUUAAAGGGUUAAUUUUUAAGAAUGGGUGCUUUUAC